rnacentral:lncRNA from 1 species
GCCAGGGGCUGGCCAAUGACCAGGCCGCCCGGGAUGAGCUAAUAAUGGAAGCAAUUUGUAACUUUCAGUAGCUCUCUAGGCCUGGGUACCGGAGGGAGGGAGGCGGGCAGAGGAGGGGAGAUGGGCACCCCCAGUCUUUCCAUCCUCCUCAUUCGUCUAGGGGCACCCGAAUCCCCUAUUCCUUAUUUCCCCUAUCACUCAGGCACUGGCAGGGUCCUUUGCCCACUCCUGUUGGCCGCUGCGGCUCCAAAGCGAGAUGUGCCUGAGACAGGUUUGACCAGGCAACUGAAAAGACAUCCCUAAGAGAAGACAAAGCAAAGGUAUGAAAGGAACACACGUCCCUGACUGACUAGGAGGAACAGAGCUGCCUGCUAUCUGGAACAACUUCCUCCCAGACUAACUGUGAGUCAAACAGAAUCUGCCAACCUCUGGGCGGUGGGAGCAUCUCGGAAGCAAGGCAAGGCAAGGAGAUCCCUUGUUCCUGACCUCCGGCAAUCCAUUUUAUUUGACCCGAGUCUCAUAAAGG